rnacentral:rRNA from 1 species
UAGGGAAUCUUCCGCAAUGGACGCAAGUCUGACGGAGCAACGCCGCGUGAGUGAAGAAGGACUUCGGUUCGUAAAACUCUGUUGUUAGAGAAGAACAGCGCAUAGAGUAACUGUUAUGCGUGUGACGGUAUCUAACCAGAAAGCCACGGCUAACUACGUGCCAGCAGCCGCGGUAAUACGUAGGUGGCAAGCGUUGUCCGGAUUUAUUGGGCGUAAAGCGAGCGCAGGCGGUCAAUUAAGUCUGAUGUGAAAGCCCCCGGCUCAACCGGGGAGGGUCAUUGGAAACUGGUUGACUUGAGUGCAGAAGGAGAGAGUGGAAUUCCAUGUGUAGCGGUGAAAUGCGUAGAUAUAUGGAGGAACACCGGUGGCGAAAGCGGCUCUCUGGUCUGUAACUGACGCUGAGGCUCGAAAGCGUGGGGAGCGAACAGG